AGAAAAUAAAAGCAGGCUGCCUGAGACAGCAGUGGCAACCCGCUCCGGUGUCCUUCCAUGCUGUGGAGGCUCUGUUGUUUCGCUCUUUCUACUGCUUACUCUUCGGGUCCACACUGCUUUUAUGAGCUGUAACACUCACCCUGAAGGUUUGCAACUUGACUCCUGAAGCCAGCAAGACCACGAGCCCCAGGGAGGAACGAACAACUCCAGACGCGCUGCCUUAAGAGCUGUAACACUCACCGAGAAGGUCUGCAGCUUCACUCCUGAGCCAGCGAGGCCACGAACCCACCAGAAGGAAGAAACUCUGAACACAUCCGAACAUCAGAAGGAACAAACUCCAGACGUGCCACCUUAAGAGCUGUUAACACUCACCGCGAGGGUCCGCGGCUUCAUUUUUGAAGUCAGUGAGACCAAGAACCAACCAAUUCGGGACACAAUACCAACUCUUUCAUGCCAGGAGAAGCCUCCUUAAAAAAUUUCGGUGAUUAACAGCUCUGCUCAAAGAAACCACUCAAAAGAAAUUUUCAUGAAAUCAACUCACCAGGCAGAGAGUACCAGAGUACGCUGUGAGCUGGAUCGGGGACAGCCUGUUUUGUCACCAUUGUUUCAUUAGCAUCUAGUAGAGUUCUCGGUGCAUAUGUGCUCUAGGCACACUUAAGAGAGAAAAAAGAAAUAUAUGCUCAGACCCUAUUACACACACUCAAAUAAAACAAAUUUCUUUAUUCAUUUUAAUAGUUUCUAAAUAUCAUUAUACUCUUCUAUUAGUAGGAUAAUCUUCAGAAAAUCAGAACUAAAAAGGCAUUAUUAGGAUUUAUUUUUAGAGUUUAUAGUAUGAGUGUUUUUUAAAUUUCUCAUUCUCGCUCCUUUGCUUUCUAUUUACUAUUUGUUGAGUAUUUAUUAUAUGUAAGAAAAACUAUACUAAGUGUUGUGGAUUUCAUAAAUUUAGUAUUUAAAUUUCCUGAAGAUUCCAAUAAAGGCUUUCUCUUUUCUUUGAACAAACACACUUAACCACCCCCUAAAAAUCCACUGAGUAGUGUUUAUACUGUCUUAAUCUUUUCAGAUGCUAAAAGCAACAUAUUCCUAAGCUGAGACAUUCUCUACAGUAAAACAUAAUUUUUCCCAAUUAUAAGAAAUUUAAGAGAUGUUAGGGAAGAAACUAUAAAGACGUAUUUUAUAUCCAGAAAAGCUAGAUGUUUUCCAUUUUAGUUGAUGUUAUAUAUUCUGGGCACAUUCCUGGACUGAAAAACAGAAGUAUACUACAUUUCUAAGACACAUUCCCCAAAACAGCUUUACAUAGAAGUUCCUGUGAUCCUAAUUACAACCCUAUCAAGUAGGUGGGUGGGUAUUAAUAGAUCACUUGGGGGUAUGAAAAUCAUAGUGCAGACAUACUGAAUGACUUCUCCAGCAUCAACAGGGAAGUAACAACAGCCUCUUUGGAAGGUAGCCCAGUACAAAGGAUUUGAGAGUCAUAAAACCUGGGUUUGAAACUGUGAUUUGGUGAAAUUACUUAAUAUAUCUCUCUCUCUCUCUUUCCCCAUAAAAAAGAAAUUAGGUUGAACCAUUUGAAAUUUCCAAUAUGCAACAUUUUCGACCUACAAAAAUGGCAAUUUCAUGAGGUUCAACCUCAUAAUAAUGUUAACACUUAAAAGAGUUGUUCUAAAUGUAAAACCCAAUACUAUAUUUAAAGCAUCUAGCACGGAGCCUGGAAUAGAGAAGUGCUAGACAAAUGCUAGUUCUUUUUGUCCUUCCAGUGUCAGUCCUACAGCAUCAGCACAAUUCUGUCACUCAUGUCUCAGCCAUUCCUUGUAAGAUUUUAGACAAUGUAAAAUACAUUAAGUGUAUUUUAUUUUAUAAUAUAUUCACUAAAAUAUCAAUACAUUUUGAAAUUUCAGGAGGUAAGAGAAAAACAAGCAGGUGUGUAAUUACUGCUGAUUUUGUAGCUUAAUUCAGCAGUGCAAAGAUUUUCCUGUCUACUUCCAAGCAGGGACAUACCUGUCUUGAGCUUACACAUUCACAGUAGUCUCAAAACCUAAACCAGGAGACUCUAGGCUUGCUUUUGGUUGCAGUUUAAUAAUACUGUGGAUUAGUAGCCAAACAUUUCUUUGAAACAUUCAGUAAGAGCUAGGCAAUACAGAUCUGGUGUCUGGGUCUUCCAGGAAACUGACAAUUUUAGGAAAGCCAUGGAGGGGGGGAAAAUGAAACAAGGUAAAGAGAAAGCUGUAAAAUGAAGUUGAUGCAGUACUGGACAAACCCAACACCCAAAAUUUUCAGUUUCCAUGUUCCUGCAUUGUCCCUACCUUCAUCCUUAAGAGUUUCAAGAGACCAAAUGAUCCAAAGAGCUAAGGACCCUGGAUCCAAGAAUACUGUUUUCCGUCUG
rnacentral:lncRNA from 10 species